UUUUAAUAAUAUCUCAAAAAAUAAUAUUAAAUAUACCCUAAAUUAUGAAUAUCAAGAAUCUCAAUCUGUUGUACCAUUAAUGUUUGACCAACAUUUCAUGAUAUCUCUCUCUUGCCUACCAAAACCUGCACAUGCAUCUUGCUAAUUUUCCCAGGAUGAAACACAUGCUAAUAAAAAUUAAAAGGGAAAAAUUCAUAUAGAUUUGAUUAAUACUUGCUACCAAAAGUAAUCAUCGGAACCGACAAAUUAACUAUUAUAUAGGACACGUAAAUCUUACAGGUAAUGGGCUCGGUGACGAUG
rnacentral:misc_RNA from 1 species